GCUUCUAUGGCGCAAUUGGCUAGCGCGUCUGACUGUUAAUCAGGAGGUUGGUGGUUCAAGCCCACCUAGGAGCG
rfam:Parasitella parasitica strain CBS 412.66 genome assembly, contig: contig_18343